CUUCAAGAGGGGCAAAGGACCAAGUUUCCAUAGGCAGAGAUUGAUGUUCUCACACGAGUCUGUUUGAAGAACUCUCCCUAAGACUCCAGACCACUCCUCUGGCCACCCUCCUGGCACAAGGGCUCAUGUGUAACUCAUUGGUCACUCACCUCCUGGUGCACUCUCCAUUGUCCAAACCUCCCACCUUGAAGAGAAGGACAGAAGGAGACAAUAACUAAUUCAACCAAUCACCAAUCUGCUGCCAACCUCAGCCUCUACUGAUAAGUUCACCACUUCUGCACCAUGCUGUCCUGGAUUAUUGGUCUAAAACAAGAAUCAUCUCGCUGUGCAGAUUUACCAAUAAACCUUUC